GCUUGGUGUCUUGUUUUUUUUUUUUUGGUAAGUAAAUUUUAUAGCACCAAAAAACGCAAACAAGCUACAAAAACACCGCGGCAUCCCCCUGAAUAAGUACACAGACCUCCCUAUACAACGAAGGAGAAACACUACCUACGAACAAACAGCAACCUAUCCACAGUUAUUGAUUCUAAAAAUUCUGGAAUCCAGCAACCAUUCAUCACAAAGAUUCCUAUUAACAGCAGAAAAUUUGAUUGAGGAUAAGGAGCUAAGCUUAGCUUGAAUGGCUUCAAGAAUAGCAGCCGUUACCCUUUCCAAAUCUCCUCUCUUAUGCUGAAAAACCCUCAGAGUACGUUCCGCCCAAAGGAGAUAUACCGUAGCAGCCAAAGAAAUUUUGUAAAUAACACUACCAAAGCUCCUUCCCUUUCUAUGGCAGCCAGCCCCUUGGAGCUCCUGUUCCAAGGGGAGCGAGGUUCUAGUGAUACCAUUCUUGGUCAAGACGACAUUCCACACUGAGGAGGUAAAAUGACAGUCAAAGAACAAGUGAGCAUGAGAUUCAAUGGCUGUCAUACACAUCACACAUUGAGUAUCAACAGCCAUGCCCAAUUGUCUAGCCUAUCUUUAGUGGCUAAUCUACCCCAUACAUCUAGGAACAUUAUUGCCGUACCAGACAAAAGAAUACCAAGUUUGGAUAGGGUACCUGGGCCUACAAGCCUCCCAGGCUGUCUUUGUAGAAUAAAUUCCAUCAGCUGAAAGGGUCCAGCAAAUUGAAUCCUUAACUGAUGGGUUAGGGAGAAAAUCAGCGGGAGUUAGCCUUAAGACCUCCAUAAUAGCCCUGUUGUGCUGCCUCGGCCACCUCCACUCUCCUUGCACAAUAAUGGAAGACACCUUUGCCUUCAAGGCACUGCCUCUGUUCAAAACAAUAGAGUCCCCAAACUUCUUUUAGAGUGCACCAAUUGGGCGCCAAUUAUCAGUCCAAAGGAAAGUAUCCUCCCCAUUGCCAAUACAGUAUCUGAUCCAUUCUUGACAAAUAUCCCUUAAUUUGAGCAGUUUCCUGAUUCUGAGAAUAUACAUAUGCACCCAUUUAACCCAAAGCGAAUCAGCUUUUUUGCUAAGGGCCUAGAGAUAUCUAAUAUUAGAAGCCUUGUUCCAUUCCAUAAGGAUCGAAAACCCUACCCACCUUCAUUUUUAGGUACACAAAGGUGAGUCCAACUGACUUUGGCCCCUGUAUGUUUCAUGUCAAUUCCAGACCAUAAAAAGGCACAAAGCAAACCCUCAAAUCUCCUUAAUAAUUCUCUGAGGUAACACAAAAAUAGAGCUCCAAUAAGUGUGAAUACUACAAAGCACUGAUUGGAUUAAUUGAGCCCGUCCCCCAUAAGACAAGUACUUCUGAGCCCAGCUUUGAAUCCUGGCUAGACUCUUUUCUUUGAGGAUCAAACAAUCAGCAGAGGUAAGUCUAGAGCAUAUUAAGGGAACACCAAGGUACUUGACUGAAAGCUGUCCCUCAGAAAUGCCAAGCAACUCAACCAGAGACUGUCUAAAAGUAGUAGACACUCCAGAAAAGAAAAUUGAACUCUUGAGCAAGUUAGGUUGGAGACCUGAAAACUGAUGGAAUUCCUUAAGGGUAUUCAUAAUAACCCUCAAGGACCCUUCAUGAGCACUACAAAGCACAAACAAAUCAUCAGCGAACAUAGCAUGAGAAAUCCCCAAUUCCUGACAUUUGGGAUGGUAUUUGAAGUCACCAUUUUCUAUGUUGAACUGAAGGAGAGAAGAGAAAGCUUCCAUGACAAGAAGAAAACGAUAGAGGGAUAUUGGAUCCCCCUGUCUAAGCCCUUUAGCUACAGGAAAAUACCCAACUAACCCUCCAUUCAGCAUCACUGAGUACAUAGGAGUAGUCACACAAGCUUUGACCCACCCAAUGAACAUACUUGGAAAACCCAUAACAUCCAUGGUGUCCAACAAGAAGUCCCAAUCUACCGAAUCAUACUCCUUCAUAAGGUCUAUCUUAAUAGCACACCUAGGAGAUCCUAUAUCUCUGUGGUAGUUCUUGAUCAAUUCAUGCACUAGAAGAACAUUAUCAACUAUACUCCUCCCUUUAAUGAAAGCAGAUUGUGUUGGACCAAUAACCAAAGGUAAAACAGACUGCAUCCUAUUUGCAAGAAUUUUGUCAUAACUUUGUAAACCACAUUGCAGCAAGCAAUAGGUCUGAAGUCCUUAACCAUAGAAGGGUUUGCAAUCUUAUGAACCAAGGUAAGAACGGUAGAGUUCCACUCUUGAAGAAUAAAACCUUUAUGAAAGAAG